GAUCCGGUGUGAGAGAGGCUAUCAGACGGUCUGCAAAACCGUUUACAUGGGUUCGAAUCCCAUCCGGAUCU
rnacentral:tRNA from 1 species